GUAGGUGGCAAGCGUUGUCCGGAAUUAUUGGGCGUAAAGCGCGCGCAGGCGGUCCUUUAAGUCUGAUGUGAAAGCCCACGGCUCAACCGUGGAGGGUCAUUGGAAACUGGGGGACUUGAGUACAGAAGAGGAAAGCGGAAUUCCAAGUGUAGCGGUGAAAUGCGUAGAGAUUUGGAGGAACACCAGUGGCGAAGGCGGCUUUCUGGUCUGUAACUGACGCUGAGGCGCGAAAGCGUGGGGAGCAAACAGGAUUAGAUACCCUGGUAGUCCACGCCGUAAACGAUGAGUGCUAAGUGUUAGGGGGUUUCCCGCCCCCCUUAGUGCUGCAGCUAACGCAUUAAGCACUCCGCCUGGGGGAUACGGCCGCAAGGCUG
rnacentral:rRNA from 1 species